AGGGGUGUCUGUCUGUCUGCCUGUCUAGUGAUCUACCAGAUCUGUCUGGAGGUAGGAGGGGUGUCUGUCUGCCUGUCUGUCUAGUGAUCUACCAGAUCUGUCUGGAGGUAGGAGGGGUGUCUGUCUGUCUGUCUGUCUAGUGAUCUACCAGAUCUGUCUGGAGGUAGGAGGGGUGUCUGUCUGUCUGCCUGUCUGUCUAGUGAUCUACCAGAUCUGUCUGGAGGUAGGAGGGGUGUCUGUCUGUCUGUCUGUCUGUCUAGUGAUCUACCAGAUCUGUCUGGAGGUAGGAGGGGUGUCUGUCUGUCUGCCUGUCUGUCUAGUGAUCUACCAGAUCUGUCUGGAGGUAGGAGGGGUGUCUGUCUGUCUGUCUGUCUGUCUGUCUAGUGAUCUACCAGAUCUGUCUGGAGGUAGGAGGGGUGUCUGUCUGUCUGUCUGU
ensembl:lncRNA